UCGAGAAUUUUUCACAAUGGGCGCAAGCCUGAUGGAGCGACGCCGCGUGGGGGAUGAAUGGCUUCGGCCCGUAAACCCCUGUCAUUUGCGAUCAAACGUUAUUAUUUAAAAGAUGAUGACCUGAUAGUAGCGAAAGAGGAAGGGACGGCUAACUCUGUGCCAGCAGCCGCGGUAAUACAGAGGUCCCAAGCGUUGUUCGGAUUCACUGGGCGUAAAGGGUGCGUAGGUGGUGAGGUAAGUCGGAUGUGAAAUCUCGGAGCUCAACUCCGAAAUGGCAUUGGAAACUACCUUGCUCGAGGGUUGGAGGGGGGACUGGAAUGCUUGGUGUAGCAGUGAAAUGCGUAGAUAUCAAGCGGAACACCAGUGGCGAAGGCGAGUCCCUGGACAACUCCUGACACUGAGGCACGAAAGCUAGGGGAGCAAACAGGAUUAGAUACCCGGGUAGUCC
rnacentral:rRNA from 1 species